rnacentral:rRNA from 1 species
UAAUACGUAGGGUGCAAGCGUUAAUCGGAAUUACUGGGCGUAAAGCGUGCGCAGGCGGUUCCGCAAGUCAGAUGUGAAAUCCCCGGGCUCAACCUGGGAACUGCAUUUGAAACUACGGGGCUAGAGUGUGUCAGAGGGGGGUGGAAUUCCACGUGUAGCAGUGAAAUGCGUAGAGAUGUGGAGGAACACCAAUGGCGAAGGCAGCCCCCUGGGAUGACACUGACGCUCAUGCACGAAAGCGUGGGGAGCAAACAGGAUUAGAUACCCUGGUAGUCCACGCCCUAAACGAUGUCAACUAGUUGUCGGUCCUUAAUUGGAUUGGUAACGCAGCUAACGCGUGAAGUUGACCGCCUGGGGAGUACGGUCGCAAGAUUA